rnacentral:rRNA from 1 species
UACGGGGGGGGGCAAGCGUUGUUCGGAAUUACUGGGCGUAAAGGGCUCGUAGGCGGCCAACUAAGUCAUACGUGAAAUCCCUCGGCUUAACCGGGGAACUGCGUCUGAUACUGGAUGGCUUGAGUUCGGGAGAGGGAUGCGGAAUUCCUGGUGUAGCGGUGAAAUGCGCAGAUAUCAGGAGGAACACCGGUGGCGAAGGCGGGUCUCUGGGCCGAUACUGACGCUGAGGAGCGAAAGCGUGGGGAGCGAACAGG